rnacentral:rRNA from 1 species
UUUGGAAAAGUUGAUCCUGGCUCAGGACGAACGCUGGCGGCGUGCCUAAUACAUGCAAGUCGAGCGGACAGAUGGGAGCUUGCUCCUUGAUGUUAGCGGCGGACGGGUGAGUAACACGUGGGUAACCUGCCUGUAAGACUGGGAUAACUCCGGGAAACCGGGGCUAAUACCGGAUGCUUGUUUGAACCGCAUGGUUCAAACAUAAAAGGUGGCUUCGGCUACCACUUACAGAUGGACCCGCGGCGCAUUAGCUAGUUGGUGAGGUAAUGGCUCACCAAGGCGACGAUGCGUAGCCGACCUGAGAGGGUGAUCGGCCACACUGGGACUGAGACACGGCCCAGACUCCUACGGGAGGCAGCAGUAGGGAAUCUUCCGCAAUGGACGAAAGUCUGACGGAGCAACGCCGCGUGAGUGAUGAAGGUUUUCGGAUCGUAAAGCUCUGUUGUUAGGGAAGAACAAGUACCGUUCGAAUAGGGCGGUACCUGACGGUACCAACCAGAAAGCC